rnacentral:lncRNA from 1 species
AAAUUAGAAAAACAAAAAAUAUUAUUUUACAUGAUGUGGUAUGUACACAUCAGUUGCUACAUCAUAUGAUAUGAAAUUGUGGUAUAAAAAUGUGGUAAGCCUAGUAUUAUUCUAUAUUAAUACUUACACAGAGAGAGAGAGAGAGAGAGAGAGAGAGAUUAAUUUUUAGAGGAAUGUCAAUAGAUUUUGAAGAGCGGGAAUGGAAGCUUGCCCACGACGAUGUGAAUUAUUGGACGUUGCUGGGUAUUGUGCUAAAAUGUGAAUAUGGUUUGAAUGUAUUAAGUUAAUUUUAUUCUUCUCCACAAGGAGGUAUAUAUAAGAGUUUACAGUAGGGGUGGGCGCGGUCCGAUUCGGUUCGGUUCUCACCUCAAAUUGAAACCGAAACCGGUAUUAUUUAACCGGUCCAGUUUAGGCAAAAAAAACUUCAAAAACUGGCAGGUUCGGUUCUGACCAGUUCCGGUUUUGAACUGGAUUAUUAAUUUUUUAUUAUUUUAAAUUUAUUUCAAAAUUUUUUUUUAUAUUAAAUAACUUAUUUUUUUGGCUUAAAAAUUAACAAAUAAUCCAAUUCAUACAUUUAGAAAUUUUUUGAAGUUGAACUUGGAAAAAUUAUGAUUAUAAAAUUUAAAAUAUGGCAUAGAUUUUAAAAUUUUGUAAAAAUAAAAAAAUAUAUAUAUAAUCGGUUCAGUGCGGUGAGGUGUAAAAUCGGAACCGGACCGAAAAUUUUGUAAAAAUAAAAAAUAUAUAUAUGACCGGUCUGGUCCGGUCCGAUUUCGAUGCAGUGAGGUGUAAA